rnacentral:tRNA from 1 species
GGGUGCUUAGCUCAGUCGGCUAGAGCAUCGCCCUUACAAGGCGAGGGUCGCAGGUUCGAGCCCUGCAGCACCCACCA